GCAAACUCGUUCCGGCUGGAGAGACCCCUCGGCCAUGAAAUAUUAAUUCGGUGAUCUACGGCAGCACAUUCCAGGUGCAAUUAGGAGCUGUUGGUCGGGGAAAUGUGCGGCGGCGGAGCUCAGGCAGCGCUCAGCCCCAUCUCCUCUUGCUAUAGCAACGGGGAGACCUUGGCAACCCACGGCCCUGGCAGUUAUUGAGAUGGGAGCAGGAAUUGUGCAUCGCGGUGACUAUCUGCUCCAAAGCUGCUCCGGCAGUGGGAUACAAAACUGGGGGACAGCAGAGCCCCCAGGGUAGCCCAGCUGCCACCAAUCCUGCCCGCCGUGGGCUGCCCUACAAAAAGGAAUGCUCAGCAAGCAAAUGAACCAGCUCAUAAACACCUCCAGCUGCUGCAUGCCGGGCAGAGCUUGUGCCUGCCAGAGCAGCACCCACUAUCUCCUGUCCCACCAGGUCCCAUCACCUCCUGUCCCACCUCCCUGUGUCCCAUAACCUCCUCUCCCAACUCCUGUCCCAUCUCCCCAUGUCCCAUCACCUCCCCGUGUCCCACCUCCCUGUAUCCCACCAUGCCUCGCCCAUCAGAACAGGCUCCUGCCUCGGGGGGAGGACAUAGCAAGCCUGUGUUACUACUGCUGUUGUCAUUUAGGCAGUUAAUGGGGCAGCAAUAACCCAUUCUGAGCAUGAGUCAGUCCUCUCAGGGGGAGGCGCUUGCUUGCACUGCUGCUCUUCUUGGCACCCUGAGGCCCCAAGACCCUGCUCCUCACACCCAUCACUGUCUCAGUUCCCACUCAAACUCAGCUGCUUCUUUCCACUCCAACAUCUAGAUUAGUCCGACUGAAUUCCUCCAGCAGCCUCUAUACGCUGACCUGCACAACUCCCCUAUCAUGUCCCCACCAAGACUCUCUCUCAGCUUUAACUCCCCCAGGCUUUACCAGCACAAGUGGAUGGAGCCCAGCCAAGAGCUUCUACAGAAUCACAGCAUCAUUAAGGUUGGAAAAGACCACCAGGCCUUUCAUUCAGGCCAGACCCCAACCCAUCAGCUUCCCCACUGACCCCAACGCCAGCCACCAGUGCAGUCCAGUAGGAAUGUAGCUGCGUGCUGCAGUACCUGGAGGCAAUUAAACAAUAGUACUGGACACAUCAGUCCUCCAGGAAAGCUGCCAAGGAGCUUUGGGAGCAUGGAAAGCGCAGAGGUGUGCUGCGCUUAAACACCAUUCUGAAGAGAGAAGCAGCAGGAAUGGAGGGUAGAUCAGACAGCGCAGCGACUCCACUCAAGAAGAGCAAUGGUAUAGAAAACCUAUAUAUCCGAUUCCCAGCCCUGAGGUGUCAUCUGAUGGAGCACGCUGGCCAGGCUCCACGCAGCGAUGCCAGCAUCCACUGCUGAGGGCUGGACCCACGACGUCUGUCAGCAUUUUCAUCUGGUUUUGUUUUCGACUGGUCUGGAAAUACCUCCACCAGAAGGCAUCAUGCCCUUUUGUGCACAUUAAAACCGAGAGCUACCGGAGACAAACGUCUACAUGUUAACCACGGGCUGGGAGAAAGCAGCACCCUGACUCUCUCAUCCAGCCACAUCCCUGCACAUCUUGUCCUGCAGCCCUUCCUAAGCCCAUUGACUGGCAGGGGAUGCCAGCAGCUGGCAGGGAAUGAGAUGUGCUGCCUUCCUGCAGGGCUGUACUGGGGUGCCCAGGAGCUCAUCCCAACGGAGCAGCCCCCAGCACAAAGAUACGGGUGAUGGAAAGUAGCCUUUGUCCAAGGAGGGUGGAUCUUUCAUUAUGUUUUGUAUACCUCCUAUACCAACAAAGCCAUGAAGCAUACGGUCCCUUUAGGUUCUGUGAAUCCACUUAGAUCGUAUCUCUGGAGCUGGAGCUUUCCAAGAAUUGAAUAGCUGAGAGACACAACGUGGG
ensembl:lncRNA